GCUAAGAGUGCUCGGAGCACGGAUUAACUCUAGUCUCCUAUCAGGUGUGUAUUUUCUCACUACUCUAGCUGUAGGAUGGCUACUUCGGGCCACGAUGGGUCGAAAGGGGUCAUGUGGGCCUAAUGGGCCUACAGGCCCAAUUGGAUAAGUUGUUUGAUUGUGUAGUAACUAUUGGACUAGGCUAGGUGAAUCUCAUAUCUGUGGCUAGAUUUGGGCUAAAAGGGCCACACGAGCGUGGAUCUCAUAUCUGUGGCUAGAUUUGGGCUAAAAGGGCCACACGAGCGUGUGGCCGAGAAUAGGCUUUAGGCCCAUUCGUAUUGUUAUCCCUGUUUAGAAUACUUUAGUUUACCAAAUUACUGAAAUGCCCUUAAAUUGUAAAAUUACUAAAGUACCCUCGAUUUACAAAAUUACUGUUUUACCCUCGAUUUAUAGAAUUACCGUUUUACCCUCGAUUUACAGAAUUACCAUUUUACCCUCGAUUUAUAGAAUUACCAUUUUACCCUCAAUUUAUAGAAUUAUCGUUUUACCCUCGAUUUACAAAAUUACUAUUUUACCUUUAAUUUACAGAAUUACCAUUUUACCCUCGAUUUAUAGAAUUACCAUUUUACCCUCAAUUUAUAGAAUUACUAUUUUACCCUCGAUUUACAGAAUUACUGUUUUACCUUCGAUUUAUAGAAUUACCAUUUUACCCUCGACUUACAGAAUAACUAUUUUACCCUCGAUUUAUAAAAUUACCAUUUUACCCUCGAUUUACAAAAUUACUAAAAUACCCUUGAUUUACAAAAUUACCAAAAUACCCUCGAUCAAUAAAAUUACCAAAAUACCCCUGGUUUGUAAAAUUACUAAAAUACCCUUGGUUUGUAAAAUUACUAAAAUACCUUUGGUUUAUAAAAUUACCAAAAUACCCCUGGUUUGUAAAAUUACCAAAAUACCCUUGAUUUACAAAAUUACCAAAAUACCCUUGGUUUGGAAAAUUACCAAAAUACCAUUGGUUUAUAAAAUUACCAAAAUACCCCUAAUUUGUGAAAUUACUGAAAAUCACUUGUAGGGUAGAAAUAUCGAAAUACUCCUGUAGCGUAGAAUUACCAUUUUGCCCCUAGGGUGUUAAAUGACUAUUUUGCCCUUGUGGGCAAGUGACUGACUUGGACUGUGUGGUUGACGAAUUUGAUUGUGAGUAUAUGUUGGUGAUAUGAAUGACUUGACUGUGAUUGUUUGAUUCAAAUAUGGGCAUGACAUUCUGCAUACAUGACAUGUUGCAUGGGUUUGGGUUUUAUAAAAAUGGAGGAAGUGCUAAAAGGGCUUUGCCCCAGUUUACCGAAAAGGGCUUUGCCCCAGUUUACCAAAAAGGGCUUUGCCCCAGUUAUUAAAAGUGGCUAGACCUCGAAUUAUAUGAUAAAGCAGCUAUGCUGCCAGUGGAGAGUUUGGUUGGGUAGGUUGAGUUAUUCCCCACAUGGAGAGCUUGGUUGGUACGGGUGGAGGGUAGAGGAUGGUAGGUUGAGUAGUCUCCCCAAAUGGGCUUGCAUACAUCCAUUGGUAUUACAUGUGAUAUUGAAAUGGGCCUAUGGGCCAUACCAUUUACAGUAAAGGCUUCGGCCCAGUGAUAUGAUCUAUGAAAAGGCUUCGGCCCAGUAACUGUUAAACGAAAGGCUUCGGCCCAGUAUAUGUCGAGACUGAAUAGGGCUUUGGCCCAGAUUGUACUGAUACCGUGUUAUUCACUGUUUGUUUGUUAUUGGGAUUACACACUGAGUUUUCAUAAACUCACCCCGUUUAUUAACCUUUCAGGUAAUUUCCAGCCUUAGACGGAUCGGAGUAGCGAGGGGCUCGGAGAUGGCCAUACUACUGUUUCUGUUUCUUUUAAUUGCAAUUAGAUUUCAUUUUGGGUUAUUUUUAUGUAACAAGGCCGUUGGUGGGUUUUAAAUAAUUUAAUUUGGAUUGUGAUUUCUUAUACUAAACUACUAGUCUAGGAAAACUCGAGAUUUCAAAAUGGCAUGAUUUUUCUAAGGAAUAUGAGCUUCCAACAACAAAGUUUUCAAAAUGCUUUCGCGAGUUUAAAUGAGGUAAUAUACCAAUGGCAAACAAAUUGGUAAACGUUUUAAUGGGAACUGUGGUUUAAUAAAUUUAGAUUCAGUAAUGGAUUUUCACUGGAAAGAUCAAAUUUGAAAAAUGGUUUGAUGUGACGCACCAGAUUCGGCCAUAACAUCUAGGCUGAGUUUGGGGUGUUACAAUGAGAGAGAGAGAGUUUAUGUAUAUCAAUAAAUAUGUCCGAGAGAUUGUGCCUAUUGAAGAAGAGAUGUGUAUCCGAUUUGAAGGUGGCCUGAAUUACAAAAUCAAAAUAAUGAUCGGAGGUAAUGAAAUCUGAGAAUUUGUUGUUUUAUUUAUUGUGAACAAAAAAUAGAAGAAGUGUACAACCGCAAUGUAACAGUCUUGUUUUUAGCUAAAUCAGAACAGUUGUUUCGGAACCACAAAUUUGGGGUUGUAAAAUUAUUUUAAUAUUAUUUUUUGUGUUUACAGCAUGUGAAUAUGUAUGUGUAAAAAUUUCUGAGCUAAUUUUAUCGUUUAAAUGGUUAAUUUGACUAAAUGACUAAAUCAAAUGCCCAAAGUUUCAUUCUACUUGUUAAAGUGCUUUAAUUAGUCAUCCAUUAAAUGAUUUUUAAUGUUAUAAUAUAAGGUUAAAAUAGUAAUUAGUGAAAUAAGGGUAAUUAAAUUAAAACAAAACAUAAUGGUGGCCAUUUUAUCAUCUUUUAUGGCCAAAUGAUGCAAAGAAGAAAGAUAAAAUAGGGCUUUGAUAUUCGACACUUGCAUAGCUUGAUUGAGGUAUGUUUUGAGCUCGGUUUUUGAUGAUUUCUAUGUUUUUGUGAUCAUUGCUUUGAGUACUAACUAGCCUGUGUUUUAAUUUUUGAAACUGUUAAAGAUUUUGAGAGUUACUAUUGAUGAGUUAUUGUGUUCUUUGGUAUUUGAUGAUGAAAUAUGAAUUUUUGAUGAUAGAUUAUUAUGUUCUAUAAAGUGAUUUUUAGUGAAAUUGUGUAAAAGGGGUUAAUUUGUGAAAAGAUGAAAAUGUGUGGUUAAAUGUGUAAAAUAUUUAUAAAUAUGGGCUAUUAAGGAGCCUAUAGAAAUUCGGCUAGCUUGGGUUUAAUUGAAAUUUGUAACACCCCGAAUUUGGGCCUAGAAAUAUUGGGCCUUGAGUGCGGGUCUGUAAGGAGGUUGUAUAUAGGUAUUUAAUUGUGCAAUGAAAUAACACAAUUAAAUGUCUACCUUAGUGGUUAAUGGCUUUGAGAAGUGUUGGAGAAAUCUUGGGUUCAAACUUGGGCUUUAGCAAAAAUUUUGGUAUUAAGUGAAAAAAGCCUGGAUGCUUGGAUGAGGGCCUUUUAAAUUAUUGUGGUAAAUAUAUGACGCAAAGAAGUAUGUAGUUUAGUGGUUGUGGCAUCAUUAAGGUUAUAUGGGAGCCUGGGUUCAAGUCUUGGCUCUUGCAAUUUCUUUUGGUUUUUUAAGGGAACUUGGACUUUGACCUUUAGACCUUAUAAUUAAUUGGGUAUAAAAUAUGACACAAAAAGCCUUGUGGCUUAGUGGAAAGAAGCGUGUGGAGCAUCUGAGGGGAGGCAUGGGUUCAAAUCCCAUGGCAAGCAAGGAGCAUUUAUUUUGCUAAUAGGGGGCGGCAAGAGUUAGUGUUGAAUUUAAAAUCUGAUGUUGGAGGGAUCCCACAUCGGGAAGCUAACAUAAGAGUGGAUGCGAAGCCGGCUUUAAAUAGAGGGAACCAUGAGGAGAGUAAAGGUACCUUUCUUGGCUCAUCCCUUUCGCUGUAUGGCGUGCUCGUUUGGGUUGGGCGUCGGCUAAGAGUGCUCGGAGCGCGGAUUAACUCCAGUCGCCAAUCAGGUGUGUAUUUCUCGCUACUCUAGCUGUAGGAUGGCUACUUCGGGCCGCGAUGGGCCGAAAGGGGUCAUGUGGGCCCAAUGGGCCUACGGGCCCAAUUGGAUAAGUUGUUUGAUUGUGUAGUAAUAUUAGACUAGGCUAGGUGAAUCUCAUAUCUGUGGCUAGAUUUGGGCUAAAAGGGCCACACGAGCGUGUGGGCCCAUUUGGGCCGAGAAUAGGCUUUAGGCCCAUUCGUAUUGUUAUCCCUGUUUAGAAUACUUUAGUUUACCAAAUUACUGAAAUGCCCUCAAAUUGUAAAAUUACAAAAGUACCCUCAAUUUAUAGAAUUACCGUUUUACCCUCGAUUUACAGAAUUACCAUUUUACCCUCAAUUUGCAGAAUUACCGUUUUACCCUCGAUUUAUAGAAUUACUGUUUUACCCUCGAUUUACAAAAUUACUAAAAUACCCUUGGUUUACAAAAUUACCAAAAUACCCUCGAUCAGUAAAAUUACCAAAAUACCCUAGUUUGUAAAAUUGCUAAAAUACCCCUGGUUUGUAAAAUUACAGAAAUACCCUCAAUUUGUAAAAUUACCAAAAUACCCCUAGUUUGUAAAAUUACCAAAAUACCACUGGUUUGUAAAAUUACCAAAAUACCCUCAAUUUGUAAAAUUACCAAAAUACCCCUGAUUUACAAAGUUACAGAAAUACCCUUGACUUUCUAAAAAUUAUGGAAAUACCAUUGGUUUACAAAAUUACUGAAAUACCCUUGGUUUGUAGAUUUACCAAAACACCCUUGUAGGAUGAAAUGACUAAAAUACCCCUAUUUGGUAAAAAGAUCGUAAAGCCCCUGUAGGGUAAAGAGACCGUAAAUCCCCUGUAGGGUAAAGUGACCGUAAUACCCCUAUAUGGUAAAAUGGAAAAUAUGCCCUUAUGUUCUGUAUGACUGAUGUGCUUAGGAUUUACAUAUAUUGAUAUUGGAUUAGUUAAGUUUGAGUGACAAGUGGUGGUUAUCGUAGGCGAUUGAUUUUGGAAAAGUUUCAACUUCAACCCGUAACAGGUGUGUACUAACCCUCGUAAUAGCUUAGAUUAAUAUUUGCUGAGAAGUUGAAAUGCUAAAAUACCGAUAUUUCGGGAACUUAUAAUGUUGCGUUUGGGUAUAGAUGCGAUAAAUACGAUAAGAUCAGUGUUUGGAUCGAUGGAACAGGUAAGAACUCAAAUUUGUGCACGAUGGUAAGUUGGGCCUCAAUGGGCUAAAAUUGGGCCCAAUAGGCUUUCAGACCCAUUUGGGUAGAAUUGAUAGAAAAUGGAAUUUGGAAAAGUUGCACGUUAACACGGUUAGUAUUGUUGUAAAUUUUGGGUUAAGUAGGCUAAAUCAUCAUUCGUAGUGCCCAUUAGAGGUUUUGGGCCCAAAAGCCCGAAUUUUAUAAAGUGGGUUAAAGAUCAUUGUUUAAACACUAGGAAAUAUUGAUAAUUGUAAUGAACAUGGAAAACCCUGAUAUUUGGUAAAAUUACGAAAAUACCCUUAUAAUGUGAAAAAUGACUGUUUUGCCCUUGUGGGCAAGUGACUGACUUGGACUGUGUGGUUGACAGAUUGAUUGUGAAUAUAUGUUGGUGAUAUGAAUGACUUGACUGUGAUUGUUUAUUCAAAUAUGGGCAUGACAUUCUGCAUACAUGACAUGUUGCAUUGGGUUGGGUUUUUAUAUGGAUGGAGGAAGUCCAAAAGGGCUUAUGCCCCAGUUUAUUGAAAAGGGCUUAUGCCCCAGUUUAGUGAAAGGGCUUAUGCCCUAGUUUACCGAAAAGGGCUUAUGCCCCAGUUUAUUGAAAAGGGCUUUGCCCCAGUUUACCGAAAAGGGCUUUGCCCCAGAUAUUAAAGAGGCUAGGCCUCCAAAUAUAUGAUAAAGCAGCUAUGCUGCCAGUGGUGUGUUGGAUGGGUGGGUUGAGUUAUUCCCCACAUAGUUUGUUGGUUGGUACAGGUGGAGAGUAGCGGAUGGUGGGUUGAGUAGUCUCCCCAAAUGGGCUUGCAUACAUUCAUUGGUAUUUCAUGUGAUAUUGAAAUGGGCUUGUAUACAUCCAUUGACAUUACAUGUGAUAUUGAAAUAGGCCUAAGGGCCAUACCGUUUACAGUAAAGGCUUUGGCCUAAUGAUAUGAUUUAUGAAAAGGCUUCGGCCCAGUGAUAUGAGUUUUGAAAAGGCUUCAGCCCAGUAACCGUUAAACGAAAGGCUUCGGCUCAAUAUAUAUCAAGACUAAAUAGGGCUUUGGCCCAGAUUGUACUGAUAUUGUGUUUUCACUGUUUGUUUGUUAUUGGGAUUACACACUGAGUUUUCUUAAACUCACCCUGUUUCUAACUGUGCAGGUAAUCCCUAAGCUUAGAUGGUUUGGAGCUGCGAGGGACUCAGAGAUGGCCACACUACUGUUUUUGUUUCUUUUAAUUGCAAUAAGUAGCCGAUUUAUUUCUUUAUAAGUUUUAUCUUAUUAAUAUUAUUGUUUGGUUUUGGGUUGUAAUAAGGCCAUUUUAAUUAUUUUUCUG
rnacentral:lncRNA from 1 species